UACGGGGGGGGUAAGCGUUGUUCGGAAUUACUGGGCGUAAAGGGCUCGUAGGCGGCCAACUAAGUCGGACGUGAAAUCCCCCGGCUUAACCUGGGAACUGCGUCUGAUACUGGAAGGCUUGAGUAUGGGAGAGGGAUGUAGAAUUCCAGGUGUAGCGGUGAAAUGCGUAGAUAUCUGGAGGAAUACCGGUGGCGAAGGCGGCAUCCUGGACCAUUACUGACGCUGAGGCGCGAAAGCUAGGGGAGCAAACGGG
rnacentral:rRNA from 1 species